ensembl:snoRNA
GCUGCCCCUAGAGGCGUUACAGUGCGACUUGCUUCUGUCGUUGCUGUGUCAGAGGUGGCAUAGAACAAAGGGCUAUGUUUACACUUAGUACCCGCUUCUGCAAUGGGUUUAUAAUGUCAGCAUAGUCCGACAAA